rnacentral:rRNA from 1 species
GAUGAACGCUGGCGGCGUGCCUAAUACAUGCAAGUCGAGCGAACGGACGAGAAGCUUGCUUCUCUGAUGUUAGUGGCGGACGGGUGAGUAACACGUGGAUAACCUACCUAUAAGACUGGGAUAACUUCGGGAAACCGGAGCUAAUACCGGAUAAUAUUUUGAACCGCAUGGUUCAAAAGCGAAAGACGGUCUUGCUGUCACUUAUAGAUGGAUCCGCGCUGCAUUAGCUAGUUGGUAAGGUAACGGCUUACCAAGGCAACGAUGCAUAGCCGACCUGAGAGGGUGAUCGGCCACACUGGAACUGAGACACGGUCCAGACUCCUACGGGAGGCAGCAGUAGGGAAUCUUCCGCAAUGGGCGAAAGCCUGACGGAGCAACGCCGCGUGAGUGAUGAAGGUCUUCGGAUCGUAAAACUCUGUUAUUAGGGAAGAACAUAUGUGUAAGUAACUGUGCACAUCUUGACGGUACCUAAUCAGAAAGCCACGGCUAACUACGUG